UACAGAGGGUGCGAGCGUUAAUCGGAGUUACUGGGCGUAAAGCGCGCGUAGGCGGCUUUGCAAGUCGGGUGUGAAAUCCCCCAGGCUUAACCUGGGAACUGCAUUCGAGACUGCAUUGCUAGAGUAUGGGAGAGGGAAGUGGAAUUUCCGGUGUAGCGGUGAAAUGCGUAGAUAUCGGAAGGAACAUCAGUGGCGAAAGCGACUUCCUGGACCAAUACUGACGCUCAUGUGCGAAAGCGUGGGGAGCAAACAGG
rnacentral:rRNA from 1 species